rnacentral:rRNA from 1 species
GGAUUAGAUACCCUGGUAGUCCACGCCGUAAACGGUGGGUACUAGGUGUGGGUUUCCUUCCUUGGGAUCCGUGCCGUAGCUAACGCAUUAAGUACCCCGCCUGGGGAGUACGGCCGCAAGGCUAAAACUCAAAGGAAUUGACGGGGGCCCGCACAAGCGGCGGAGCAUGUGGAUUAAUUCGAUGCAACGCGAAGAACCUUACCUGGGUUUGACAUGCACAGGAUGGCCGCAGAGAUGCGGCGUCCCUUGUGGUCUGUGUGCAGGUGGUGCAUGGCUGUCGUCAGCUCGUGCCG